rnacentral:rRNA from 1 species
AACGAACGCUGGCGGCAUGCCUAACACAUGCAAGUCGAACGAUGCUUUCGGGCAUAGUGGCGCACGGGUGCGUAACGCGUGGGAAUCUGCCCUUUGGUUCGGAAUAACAGCGAGAAAUUGCUGCUAAUACCGGAUGAUGACGUUAAGUCCAAAGAUUUAUCGCCAGAGGAUGAGCCAUCGUAGGAUUAGCUAGUUGGUGUGGUAAAGGCGCACCAAGGCGACGAUCCUUAGCUGGUCUGAGGGGAUGAUCAGCCACACUGGGACUGAGACACCGCCCAGACUCCUGCGGGAGGCAGCAGUGGGGAAUAUUGGACUAUGGGCGCAAGCCUGAUCCAGCAAUGCCGCGUGAGUGAUGAAGGCCUUAGGGUUGUAAAGCUCUUUUACCCGUGAUGAGAAUGACAGUAGCGGGAGAAUAAGCCCCGGCUAACUCCGUGCCAGCCGCCGCCGUAA